rnacentral:rRNA from 1 species
UACAGAGGUCUCAAGCGUUGUUCGGAUUCAUUGGGCGUAAAGGGUGCGUAGGCGGCGCGGUAAGUCGGGUGUGAAAUCCCGGAGCUUAACUCCGAAACUGCAUUCGAUACUGCCGUGCUUGAGGACUGGAGAGGAGACUGGAAUUUACGGUGUAGCGGUGAAAUGCGUAGAUAUCGUAAGGAAGACCAGUGGCGAAGGCGGGUCUCUGGGCCGUAACUGACGCUGAGGAGCGAAAGCGUGGGGAGCGAACAGG